rnacentral:rRNA from 1 species
UACAGAGGGGGGCAAGCGUUGUUCGGAAUUACUGGGCGUAAAGGGCGCGUAGGCGCCUUCUAAGUCGAACGUGAAAUCCCCGGGCUCAACCCGGGAACUGCGUCCGAUACUGGAAGGCUUGAAUCCGGGAGAGGGAUGCGGAAUUCCAGGUGUAGCGGUGAAAUGCGUAGAUAUCUGGAGGAAUACCGGUGGCGAAGGCGGCAUCCUGGACCGGCAUUGACGCUGAGGAGCGAAAGCUAGGGGAGCAAACGGG